UACAGAGGGUGCGAGCGUUGUCCGGAAUUACUGGGCGUAAAGGGCGCGUAGGCGGCCCGAUAAGUAGGACGUGAAAUUCCGCGGCUCAACCGCGGAACUGCGUUCUAGACUGUCGGGCUUGAGCACGGUAGAGGCAGAUGGAAUUCCUGGUGUAGCGGUGAAAUGCGCAGAUAUCAGGAGGAACACCGGUGGCGAAGGCGGGUCUCUGGGCCGAUACUGACGCUGAGGAGCGAAAGCGUGGGGAGCAAACAGG
rnacentral:rRNA from 1 species